rnacentral:rRNA from 1 species
GAGGAUGCCUUCGGGGGUUAACCCCGUUUUGUUGGGAGGGAGAUAUCGGCGGUACCCGACGAAGAAGGACCCGGCCACUACGUGCCAGCAGCCGCAGCUAUUCGUCGGGCCUGAGCGUUGUCCGGAGUUACUGGGCGUAAAGCGCGCGCAGGCUGCGCGUCUAGUCUGGCGUGAAAGCCCGGCGGAUCAACCGGGGAGGGUCGUCGGGGACGGGCUCGCUUGAGGACGGCAGGGACAAGUGGAAGUCCCGGUGUAGUGCUGACAUGCGUAGAGAUCGAGAGGAACACCCGUGGCGAAGUCUGUUGAUGGUCCGAUCAUGUCGAUGAGGGGUGAAGGCGUGGGGAGCGAUCGAGAUUAGAUACCCCGGUAGUCCACGCAGUAACCGAUGCCGAUUAGGCGUAGGGGGAGUUGACCCCCUCCGUGCCCGAGCCAACGCGGUAAGUCGGCCGCCUGGGGAGUACGACCGCAAGGGUAAAACUCAAAGGAAUUGACGGGGGCCCGCACAAGCGGCGGAGCGUGCGGUUUAAUUUGACGCAACGCGCAGAACCUUACCCGGGCUUGACAUGCGCAUGCAGAGCCGGGAAACCGGUUGGCUUUUGAGGGUGGCGCACAGGUGCUGCAUGGCUGUCGUCAGCUAGUGUCGUGAGAUGUUGGGUUAAGUCCCGCAACGAGCGCAACCCCCGCGGCCAGUUGCCGAUGUUUCUGGCCGGACUGCCGGUAGCAAGCCGGAGGAAGGUGGGGAUGAUGUCAAGUCAGCAUGGCCCUUACGUCCGGGGCGACACGCACGCUACAAUGGCCGGGACAGUGGGUUGCCAAGGCGCAAGCCGGAGCCAAUCCCCCAAACCCGGUCUCAGUUCGGAUUGCGGGCUGCAACUCGCCCGCAAGAAGGUGGAGUCGCUAGUAACCGCGGGUCAGCACUACCGCGGUGAAUACGUUCCCGGG